GGCGUCCUGGGUAGAAAACAAAGAGAGGUUGUGCCAGACAUCCUGGAGCCAGAGCCCAUCCCUGAUUCAGUCUCCUUACACAGGGACACACGGUAGCUCCACACCAACCAGGACCAAAAGUGCAGCUCUUCCAGGGGAUUCACAAGGAAAGCAACUGGCAGCCCACAGAUAAUUCCUAGGUGCCUCCUGAUGCCUCUGUUCCCCCAGUCUUGAAGGAUACAGUGCAUUGCCUCCAAGUUUUUCAUGCAGACCUCAUUGCUGACUACCUUUUCUGUCCCAGAGAGCAGAAACAAUGACCCACCACCUCCCACAGACCUGCAGGAGCACCCAGAAACCAGCAUCCAAGUUAAGGACAUUGGACCCCUCAGGUGACAACCCACUGAGUGUUCCUCACCAUGGUCCCUCAUCAGCUGGACCUGGCAAAACCAAGCUAUCCUAUCCCAAUGUCCAACAGCCAUGCUCAAGAUCUCACAGUGCCUCAGAUGGCAAGAGGUGGACCCUGCCCAACAGGCAACCCUGCCACAAUAUGUUUCACUACACGGCAGUGAAGACCAGCCCAAAUCAAGGGUCUAUCACUGGAGGCCAACAUCUCGAGCUCUGCAAUCUGUGCAACCACAGUAUCAAAGCACCUGCUGUCAGUACACAGUGUCUAAACGGAAACAUAACAGAAGAAAUUUUAAGUAACACAAUGCCCAAUGAAGUGCAAAGAGGUGGAAUGCUCACUGGAGGCACUGCAGGAAUCUGCUCCCCUUGCCCCUGUGUUCCAGCAGCUGUGUCAAUGAGUAGAUCCUCUGGCAGAGCUGGGCAGGAAAGCUCAAAAAGAGAUCUUGCAUAAAUAGAUGACUGAAGCCCACAGUCUGGUUUCCCCAAGCCCACGCAAGCUGGAUUCCCAGCACUGUAGAAGGCAGGUGAUGAAUGCUGCAGCAGAAGUAAACAGCACUGUGUGCAAGCAGUUGCUACAGCUCAGCACCCAAGAUGCUGGCACAUGGAGAUACACAUCUCGAGUGCAGCUGAGCAAGACGGCCAAGAAGCUGCUCCCUGACACAUGUUCACCUUGGUGGAGAUUAACAUCAGGCAACAGCACAGGUUUACUGGGCAAACAGCCCCCAGCACCAGCACAGGACAAGUUUCUGCACAUGGCCUCAGCAACUCUGGAGCAAACUACCGCAAGACAUACAGACCCUCUGCUCCCUCUUCAUCCUUCUCCUCCAUCCCCUUAGUUUUUCAGCUGCAACUCAGUCACACUCUUAAAAAGCAAAGGUCUCUGCUGGCAUCAUGGUAUCAUGAGGUUUUAAUGAGGAUGUGUGUGAAAGACUCAACCUCCAAGGCAAGCUUGGAACGGGUCUUGUAUGGACAUACCAGGAUUGCAGUAGAAUGAAAAAGAACGUGGAUUGGGUUGGUAUUACCAGUGAUCCCAAAGGGUGGGGUGGUAUUUUAGGAGUAAAGACCUGAUAAGCAGGGUGGGGUGGUGCUGUCUGCAACCUCCAGAGCCACAUUUAUGAGUUCAGACUUGAAGUAUCACGAACAGCGGGCAAUACGCUUAGGCCAUCAAGCUGGGAAGAACCUGAGACCUUCCAGCUCAUCCCACUUAAUGGGAUCGUCACAGGGGCAAGGCUGGUCAAGGCAUCAUCGCGCCAAACUGGCAAGAAAAAACACUGUCUAAAAACACAUUAAGAGGUAACCCGCCCUGGCAUUUCUCAGCUGAGAGGCACUGGUUACGCUCAGAGCGCAGUCCACAAGGAAUACUCCUCUUGCCGAAAAGCAAGCAGCAGGAGGAAGGGAAAGAUGCUCAGGGCACGCUGACUGCCAAUGUGCAGCUUUCUGAACCAGAGGGGAGCACAGCAUGUGAGAACCUCAAAAAGCCCCACAAGUCUACAGGGCAAGGUUGAGCGCCACGCAAUGCUCCCUACGAGAAAGGUAAUUUUUUUUACAGGCAUGUCUUGCUGGACACGAGCCAGAAGCAUUGGUGGGAAAGAAGCCCUCCUCCCAGGCUCAGCUCAUUUCCCAGUAAAACCAUUGUCUGACCUGAUACCCGGCACCUUUUAACCAGACAGAGAGCAGAUGUUAAGAGGAUGACAUGCCGUUCAAAACCCCAGCAAAAUGCAAGCUUCUGCACUUGCACAGCUCCCAGCACCAUCCUCUUGACGGUGCUUCAGGGCAGCCUCGCAGAGCUGUGGAGACGCACAUUCAUCUCGUGGGAAACUGCAACAUUACAAGGGUCUGGUGUGUUAGUCACCGUGCUUCUGUUUGUACAGGGGCUCUGGCAGUAAAAGCAAACAGUUCACCUCCCUUUCCACAUCCCAUGCUCAGUGCCACCAGCUUGCCUGAGCCUGAAAACACCUUCCUCAAGGGAAAGUUUAAGAGAAAAGACAGGGAGUUCAUAUGAAGCCCUACUCCCUCCUCAAACUGCUGUAUCUUUGGUUGCAAUCCAGUUUUGAAUGCCCAGGAAAAGCUCUCCCUGCUCAGGAGGAUCCCUGCCAUCAGCAAAACCUACAGCGGGUUCCCAGCUCACAGAAGCACGAGGGACCUGCAAGCUCAGGGCUGCAAUUUGGAGCAGGCUCAUCGUCCUGGGAAGGGGUACACGGCACCUGGAAGAUUAGCUCAAGGUCUGUAAGGAGCCAUCUGGGCUGCAAGAAUGGAAGGAUGGAGAAUGGUGUCGAGUAAUGCAAACCCCUGAUCUUAAAUGGGAUUAGUGGAUUAAGCUGCUUGGACAGAAAUGUGGAUUUUGCAACAAGAGAUCAGGCUCAUUGCACCACAGCUGCUGGAAAAAGAAGAGCCAUUUGGGGAGCUCUCUGCACCCAAAAGGCACGUAGCAGUUCUUCCUGCUGCAACAGCAGUUCAAGCGGUAAGUGGGUCAAUCAAAAUUCACUCAGUACUUAAAAUAUUUUAAGUGCUCUCAGCGAAGGAUCUACCAGUAUAAAAACAUAUUAAAAUCUACUUACUUGCAUUGAACUACUACAUUUUUGGUUAAUACUUCAUGGUCCUUGUUAUCCUACUGUGACCUGGCCCUGAUGCUCACAGGUCACACAACACAAAGCCUUCCCCCACACCCAAACAGAGCAAGGAACACUGUCAAGAAAACCAGGCUGGGGUUACUUCUGUGUCAUAGGGGUUUUAAAAGAGAAAAGAAACCUGGGUGUAAGGUUCGGGAUUCAGCUGGUAAAGGGAAUUUCAAACCAUCCAAACCUUCACACCUCUGAGUGCCUCAUCAGAGCCAUAUGCACAUCCUUGUCCUGGGCUUUGGGGCAGUGGCAAAGUAUGGCAAGGAAAAAUGACACCAAUGCUCUCCUGGCUGCGUCGGCAAACACGCCUUGUCCACCAAUCUGACUAAACAUCUAAGACUAAAGUCUUCAGUCACUUCCUACAGGACAAAUCCCACAGGACCUCUGGGAAGGCAUGAAGAACACAGAAGAAAUGCAGCCACAGGCACCCUCUGAACUCACCCAAGGAGCACCAAGGAUGAUGCUUCGAUGCACACAGGUAUGUCUAAACGUGUAUGCACACGCAUGUGCAUACACCUGCAACCCUGGGCACUACACUAAGGGUCAAAGAGCUGCUCCACGGCUGUAAGAUUGGGGAAUUUUCUGCCACCUCUGCUUCUCUGAGGACACAGAUCCAGGCAGGAAAGUUUCCUCCAUGCUUUGAGGGCCCACACAGCCUUUCCAGUUUGUCUCUGCCUGUUUGGAAGUUGCCAUAGGAGGAGUCAGCCCUGUCAGUCAAAACAGGAAGGGAGUAGUCUGACCUGAAAAGAUUCCACCAGUCCCAGCUACAUCCCAUAACCACAACUUAUAUACUGUAAGAGACCAGGAGCUUUUAAUACCAUUAAUUCUUUCCUAACAUGCAGCAGCAAGAAACACAUUCCUGCACUGUGGGAGGAAGAAAGGAAAGGGCUGUAACUCUUCCAGAUCAGUCUUGUCUGAAGGUGCAAGAAAUGCAAAACAUUGCUUUAGAGGGAAGGAUGCAUACAGUAAAGCAGGAAACAUAUUCUUACCCAUCUGCACAGGAAAAGAUCUGCCAUGUACAAGACGGGCAGCUCCUCUGCCAUGAGAUCUCUGACACACAUGUGCAGACAGAGGAAGCUUAACUCUCAGCGGAAGAGGGCACUUCACAACCAGUGACCCAAUGAGACCAAAUGCAUGGUAAGAAACAUCGGGUUUUUUAACAGGUGCUACAGGCACACAGAUGGACAGGGCUCAGGCAGUUUCACUCAAUGUCCUUUGCUAUGACAGAACAACUCUGGACCCUGUGGAGGUGACCAGAGUCUUUGUGCUUUGUGAGCUCCUGAAUGCAUGCAGAUAGGCAUGGCAAGUGUAUCCACAAGUCCUGUGUCCUUGGAUCGGCUCUUGAGCUCUAGAAGACAGUCAAACCACCCUGGAGCAAAGAUGUGCUGACCAAGUCUUCCCAUGCGAUGUCCAGUGAAUGGCUGGGGGUUCUGCUCCUCGACAGCCAACAUGACACUGACCAGCCGUGUCAUGUCAUAGAGAUGCCACAGGAGCCUCAUUUGAGACACUUACACCGUAAUUUAGCUUUUCUAGAGAGUCCCUGCCAGGAUCAGACCCAGGGUAUGCUCACCAGCGUGCUCAGAACCACAGGCCCUGGGGAAGCCGGUGAUGGGCUACAGCUCCAGGGAAGCCCUCUCUGCAGAAUGUCUGGAACCUGCUUUCCCUCAAAAGCAUCUGUCUGCAAAGCCUUCUCAUCUGGAUAGACUCCCAGAACAGGCUUUUUCUAUCUGUCCUGGAAUUGAAGAAAUUGCCAUCUGAAUUCCAGGACCAGACUUGGAUCUCUACCCAGAGCCUCCCAGGAACCAGAGCAACUUGAUCAGACCAGCUCCUGCAUCAUGUCUCCUUGGAGCAAGAAAAAAAAUGAAGGCAGUAAGAACUCAACGCCUCCCCUUCUUUCAUUUUGUCCUCUGAUUAGGCUCCCUGGGGAAGGCAUGUAGCAACCCUCCAGCUCCAGAGUGCUGGUGCCUUGCUAACCCCUUUGAUUUGAGAAGACACCUCUUCUUCCGUAGUAAACAGCUUGGACAGGAGAAAAAUGCGUCUCCUGGUUACUGGGCAAGACACUACUCUCUGUCCCCGUUUAAAUCCCUUUUUCACAUGGCCAGCUCAGAAAAGGGCGGUUUCUUUUUUGCCCACAGAAGAGAACAAAAUCCCACAGCUUUGCUGCGUGGCAGAUGUCUCCAUUGCUGUAAACCCACCACAGCUGCCCUGUCAGCCUCAUGUACAACCCUCUUUCUCAAUUCUGUGGUUUGUGCUAUUAAAGGAGAGCAAAUUACCUUGAGUCAAAGCCAACCAGUUCUGCAUCCAAGUUGCCUUCUCAUCCAAAAUUUCUCAUGUUCACUGCUGUCCAGCACCAGCUUCUCACUGCAUAUGGGUCACCCCCAGGCUGACCAAGGGGAAGAGAAACACACGGGUGCUGGAGAGGCUACCAAACAAAGCCAGAUCAAAGCACAAAGCCAAUGCAAAGGUCUUCCCUUUAGGCAACAACACUGUACACUGCAAACCAAAACUGGAUUAUUCUGAUGGGGUAGUUUCUACCGACAGCUCUGCAUCACCCAUUUGCUGGUGACUCCACAGUGCAAAGUCAGCUUUUGAGGACUUUGAACGCAGGUGGACGCAGCUGAGUUAUCGGAAAGCACGUGCAGCAUCACCUCUGUCACUCUUCCCGGGGAAGAAACACCUGUUUUCCCAGAAAGAGAUAUUCAUCAGCCCCUUCAGGUCUGGCUGCUACUGAUCCAGAAGCUACAAGAGCCAAGUGAACUGGUACUGCAAGAUAUCUUCAAUAUGAUGGCUGCAAGGGAAUACAGCUGUACCUAUCUCAGAGCCUUCAAGAUGAGGAAAAGCUGCCCAGCCAGGGCUGCAAAGGCAGACUUCAGGCUCUCUACCCCCUAGCUUGCUCUUCAGAGAAACUGUGACCAGUUCCUUCUCUGUUCCUUCCUGAGCACCCUCAGGCCAAAGGACAAGAGACAUCAAGGAAACACAACACUGCUUCCAAUAAGGCAAUGUGACCUUCACUCACAUCCAUGUUUCUUCACUGGGAUGUCAGCAUACUGGAUUUAGAACCAGUCGUAAUUUGUAACCCAACCAAACCCUAUUCCGAGUCUAUUAUUACCAGCAUUAAAGAUAACAGGUAGUAAAAUUCA